rnacentral:rRNA from 1 species
GACGAACGCUGGCGGCGUGCUUAACACAUGCAAGUCGAACGGUAAGGCUCCAGCUUGCUGGGGUACACGAGUGGCGAACGGGUGAGUAACACGUGGGUGACCUGCCCUGCACUUCGGGAUAAGCCUGGGAAACUGGGUCUAAUACCGGAUAGGACCGCACCGUGAGGGUGUGGUGGAAAGUUUUUUCGGAGUGGGAUGGGCCCGCGGCCUAUCAGCUUGUUGGUGGGGUAAUGGCCUACCAAGGCGGCGACGGGUAGCCGGCCUGAGAGGGUGGACGGCCACAUUGGGACUGAGACACGGCCCAGACUCCUACGGGAGGCAGCAGUGGGGAAUAUUGCACAAUGGGCGGAGGCCUGAUGCAGCGACGCCGCGUGGGGGAUGACGGCCUUCGGGUUGUAAACUCCUUUCACCAUCGACGAAGGGUUUCUGACGGUAGAUGGAGAAGAAGCACCGGCUAACUACGUGCCAGCAGCCGCGGUAAUACGUAGGGUGCGAGCGUUGUCCGGAAUUACUGGGCGUAAAGAGCUCGUAGGUGGUUUGUCGCGUCGUCUGUGAAAUUCCGGGGCUUAACUCCGGGCGUGCAGGCGAUACGGGCAUAACUUGAGUACUGUAGGGGAGACUGGAAUUCCUGGUGUAGCGGUGAAAUGCGCAGAUAUCAGGAGGAACACCGGUGGCGAAGGCGGGUCUCUGGGCAGUAACUGACGCUGAGGAGCGAAAGCAUGGGGAGCGAACAGGAUUAGAUACCCUGGUAGUCCAUGCCGUAAACGGUGGGCGCUAGGUGUGGGUUUCCUUCCACGGGAUCCGUGCCGUAGCUAACGCAUUAAGCGCCCCGCCUGGGGAGUACGGCCGCAAGGCUAAAACUCAAAGGAAUUGACGGGGGCCCGCACAAGCGGCGGAGCAUGUGGAUUAAUUCGAUGCAACGCGAAGAACCUUACCUGGGCUUGACAUAUACAGGAUCGCGCCAGAGAUGGUGUUUCCCUUGUGGCUUGUAUACAGGUGGUGCAUGGUUGUCGUCAGCUCGUGUCGUGAGAUGUUGGGUUAAGUCCCGCAACGAGCGCAACCCUUGUCUUACGUUGCCAGCACGUUGUGGUGGGGACCCGUAAGAAACUGCCGGGGUUAACUCGGAGGAAGGUGGGGAUGACGUCAAAUCAUCAUGCCCCUUAUGUCCAGGGCUUCACACAUGCUACAAUGGUCGGUACAGUGGGUUGCCAGUCCGUGAGGGCGAGCUAAUCCCGCAAAGCCGGUCUCAGUUCGGAUCGGGGUCUGCAACUCGACCCCGUGAAGUCGGAGUCGCUAGUAAUCGCAGAUCAGCAACGCUGCGGUGAAUACGUUCCCGGGCCU